CAGGCAAGAGGUCUCCGAGGCGCAAACGUCGGUCGAAGGAUAACCCAAAAGGCAAGGUCGGUAUUCAGGCAAAAGGUCGAUAAUCAUAAGGAGCUACAGAGAUUAAGGAGGAGGGAGACGGGACUAGGAGAGGACUGCGGGAUCGGGAAGGAGUGGAGGCAAUACAGCACUGCAGGCAUCGUCCCCUUUAUUCCAAAGAGCUGCGCCUUGUCAGGAAGAAGGAAAUGGCAGGAAGAGACACGAGCAAAAGAAAUUACAUUCAUAAACACGGUGAGUGUUCUAAACAUUUGUUAUUCAUUUAUGAACAUUGCUCUUUUAUUUUUAUUUGUAUUUUCUUUGCUUGUCUAUUUUCAAAAAUGUAAUGGAGCAAAUAUAUCCUGUCUUUACUGCGCUCAGCCAUCAGUUACUGGUAAAUGUGCUGUAACAGGGUAGCGAAUGCAGGACCAGAUCAAUUCAGCUCACUUCCACAGUGCUUACAGGUUGUGUCUGGUGUUCCUAUAAAUUGGUGAUCGCUCAGGAUGUUGAACAUUGCACAUUUUAAUGCCCUAAAUAUGUCAACAGUUGCCAUUGAUGGAGGCAGUUUAUUUGUAUUUCACAUUAGUUUAAAUUUUACUGUAGAUCAAAGUCAAUAAAACUGCUCUUUUUUUUUUUUUUUUUUUUUUA
rnacentral:lncRNA from 1 species